UAAUACGUAGGGGGCAAGCGUUGUCCGGAUUUAUUGGGCGUAAAGAGCUCGUAGGUGGUUCGAUAAGUCGGGUGUGAAACCUCCAGGCUCAACCUGGAGACGCCACCCGAUACUGUCGUGACUAGAGUCCAGUAGGGGAGCGUGGAAUUCCUGGUGUAGCGGUGAAAUGCGCAGAUAUCAGGAGGAACA
rnacentral:rRNA from 1 species